CCUUUUCUUUUUGGUUUUUUAAGUUCUCUUUCAGAAUCAGUGGUGGCAUCGCAGGUUCGAUCCCUACCCUUGCUUUAGCACCUUCGUUUUGCAGCUCUGAUCUUCUGAACGUGCCACAGUCUGCUACCGCCGCACAGGAAUGUGUAAACAACACUCUUAGCGAUUUGACCUGCUCGGAUUGAUACAUAUCUCAUAUCUCUGGGAGGCGUCCAGGAGGCUGCAGUGGUACUAUAACCACGUGAAAGGAGUCUCGAAAUGAUUGUAAGAACAAACAAGCUUGGCAUGCUCGAGUAAAAGAGCGAAGGAAAUAUGCUUCCAUGAUGACCACAGAAUGUAAGUUACAUUACACUACAUGGUGGCGGUACUCAAACUCCAACCUCGAUAGCAGCAGACAACAAGAAAUUACUGGGAGCCACUACGGAAAGCUGAAAACUUUCCUGUAGAGUGUCCGUGUCCUCAUGCGAUGAUGGCCUCCACCGCUUCUCGGGAAUGUAAGAAAAGAAAAAACCAACUUUCGAGGCGGAAUCUGUAGAAUCGUGGAAACGUAAGGAAGCGGAACACGAACGCUGACCGAAAGCGAGACAUUUUAACCAGGAGCAUUCCAGUCUUGGGGAAGCGAACAAGUCUCAACGGGACAGCGAGACAGGGGAGAGCUGGUCAGAGAAAUGGUUUCCCGCGAAUCCGAAUGUUGACUAAAACUCCAGAAUCUCGUCACUUAUGUAUUGGUGAGUGACGCUAGCAGGGGCCACUGGAAUCGAUCUCUCUUUCCGGAUUCAAAGAAAACGGCUCGCGCCGGGACCUUCGCAACUUCACCAACUUAGUACUUUACUUCCCUACUAAUGAGCUCGAUUCAUUCCGCAGGCGAGAGAAUGCUUUCCUGCCUGGAAAACUUCACGAGGAACUGGAAAAAACCAGUGUGGCUUUGAUUUUCUAACGAGCCACGUCAACACAGCCUUAAAUGCGGACGUUAACGAAGAUGAUAGGCUUCCAGACAAAUGUUUUCCAAUCGCUGACCCCAAGACGUGGCCGAACGGCACCGUUGAAACCGAUGAGAAACGACGAGCGGUCCAGUUGCAAAGGAAAAGCUUGACCCGUGGAUGGUGUCCCUUCAACCGUUCGCAUAGGAUACUGCGUGGAACUCGGGCACUCGACAUUUGGAAUCCAGCUCAAGCCUAUGAGCGCGCACCGGCAGCUCGCGGGGGACGAUGAACUAGGCUGAUGUCUGAGUGCGAUACUUUAUUCCUGAUAACCUGGGAGGGACCCUACUACUUUUUGGCAGCAGCACGUACCUAGGACGCUGAUGAAGAGCACCUUCCCUUCGGCUGUCGUCGAUGAUGUUCUCUGGUCCACACUGUUCAAGGUACUUAUUCUUACUAGUCUGGGAAGGAGAGGGAGAGAUUUCGUCCACUUCUCUCGUGAGUCGUGAAAGCAGCCGUCGUCAUAUCGGUCCUGAGCCUGUGCCAUUUAUUCCCGCGAACAAGUGUCUGCAUGACCCUCUUGACAAGCAGCGGCAUCGUUGCUAUUAGUCAACAUCGUCGUCGAAUCUUUGUUUUCCUCUUGCUUGCCUUAUACUUUAUGAUCUCUUCCUUGUUGUUUCUUCUUGCUCAUUGACGUCUUGCCUCACUAGCAACUUCCAGCUUUCCUUUUUGUC